rnacentral:rRNA from 1 species
UUGACGGGGCCCGCACAAGCGGUGGAGCAUGUGGUUAAUUCGAAGCAACGCGAAGAACCUUACCAGGUCUUGACAUCCCGAUGCUAUUUCUAGAGAUAGAAAGUUACUUCGGUACAUCGGUGACAGGUGGUGCAUGGUUGUCGUCAGCUCGUGUCGUGAGAUGUUGGGUUAAGUCCCGCAACGAGCGCAACCCCUAUUGUUAGUUGCCAUCAUUCAGUUGGGCACUCUAGCGAGACUGCCGGUAAUAAACCGGAGGAAGGUGGGGAUGACGUCAAGUCCUCAUGGCCUUUAUGACCAGGGCUACACACGUACUACAAUGGCCGGUACAAAGGGCAGCGACACAGCGAUGUGAAGCCAAUCCCGAAAAGCCGGUCUCAGUCCGGAUUGGAGUCUGCAACUCGACUCCAUGAAGUUGGAAUCGCUAGUAAUCGCGGAUCAGCACGCCGCGGUGAAUACGUUCCCGGGCCUU